AAACAAAUACAUGAAUACACUCGUAAAAAAAACACGUAAAAAAAUACACAAAGAAACACACAAAGAAACAAGCAAAGAAACAAGCAAAGAAACACGAUUAAAAAAGUAGUUUGGGUUUUUGUCCUUAAUAUAUUAAAAAAAAGUCACAGUUUGGAAAAAUAUAUAAAUUGAUUUUUUUUAAACAUUUUUUUUUUAAAACCAAGUACAAUAUUCUUUAAGAUUACAUACAUAUUUUUUUUUGUUAUAUUUUACAUUUAUCUUUCAAUUCAUCUUUCAAGUCAUCUUUCAAUUCAUCUUUCAAGUUAUUUUUAAAAUUUUGCUUUUUCUUUAUUAACUUUUUUUUUUUUCUGUUCUUAAAAUACUUAAAUUUAAUUAUUUUUACAAACUCAAUAUAAAAGAAGAAAAAAAAGAUAAUAUUACCUAGCUAUUUUUUUUUUUUUUUUUUUUACAUAACCGUACAAAUAUACAUAUAUAUAUAUAUUAUAUGUACGUACGUUUGCAUGCAUAUAUGUUUAUACCAAAAGUAAAACAACAUGGGAACAAAUAAAAUUGAUAACUCUCCUUUUAUUUCUAAAAUGGAGAAUUUUGAAAUAUCUGAUAAAAAAAAUAACGAUUGUAAAAAUGAAUUAAAAAAUGUAUAUAGGAAUUUAGACAAUGAAUUUAAUUUUGAUGAAGAGAAAGGAGAAGGCAAUAAAAAUGAUGAGGAGGAAGAACAAGAUCAAAAACAAGAAGAUAAAGAAAAACAAAGUAGUUUUAAGAAUAAUUUUAAAAGUAAUAAUAAACAAGAUAUGAAAAUAAAAACAAUUAAAAUCGAUAGAAAAAAAUUAAAAAAAAUGUUUAGUAGCCAAUUUUUUACUCAAACUUUAACAGAUUCUUCAAGUACAGAAUCUGUAAGAGAAAUAAAGACAAAUAAAAAAUAUAUGUUUAUGGAAAUUAUUAAAAUGCUUUCAAUCAUGAUUUUAUUUUUUAUUUCUUCUUACUUUGCAUUAUGUUAUAUUUUUAACUAUUUUAUGGGUCAACAUAACAUAUGUGUUAAUCUGGAUUUAUACAAUUAUAAAUACGAAAAUAAUGUACAUUUUAUUCCUAGCAUUAGUAACAACAAGUAUUAUGUUUUUACAGGAAAAUUUCCAUUUGAUGUUAUAACACAUAAACUCAGAAAGGACAUUCUUAAAAAAAGUAUGAAUGAGGAAAUCGUUAAAUAUAACAAUGAAAAUCCAAAAAAUAGUAUUGAUCUAAUUUCUAAUUUAAACGAUGAUGUAAUACAGAUAAUUUCUUUUAAUAGAUCUGAUAAUCAACCGAAAUGUGAAAAAAAAAAUUUUUGAUUUAUAUAAACCUUUUUAUUUAAAAACAGUUAGUGCUGAUGUUAAUAUAAAUAAUUUCAAUUUUCUGUUAAAUGAUAUUAACUACAAAUUUAUAACAAAUCCUUAUAACAUUCCUGAACAUAAAGUAAGCACACAACGACUUAUGCAGAAAUAUUAUUAUAUAUCGGAAAGUUAUGGAAAAUAAAAUGAACUCACCUGUGUGGAUGUUACGUGUG
rnacentral:lncRNA from 1 species